rnacentral:rRNA from 1 species
GACGAACGCUGGCGGCGUGCUUAACACAUGCAAGUCGAACGGAAAGGCCCUGCUUUUGUGGGGUGCUCGAGUGGCGAACGGGUGAGUAACACGUGAGUAACCUGCCCUUGACUUUGGGAUAACUUCAGGACACUGGGGCUAAUACCGGAUAGGAGCUCCUGCUGCUUGGUGGGGGUUGGAAAGUUUCGGCGGUUGGGGUUGGACUCGCGGCUUAUCAGCUUGUUGGUGGGGUAGUGGAUGACCAAGGCUUUGACGGGUAGCAGGGCUGCGAGGGUGACCGGCCACAUUGGGACUGAGAUACGGCCCAGACUCCUACGGGAGGCAGCGGUGGGGAAGAGUGCACUAGGGGCUGAAGCCUGAUGCAGCAAAGCCACGUGCGGGAUGACGGCCUUCGGGUUGUAUACCGCUUUCGCCUUUGACGAGGCGUGAGUGACGGUAAUGGGUAAAGAAGCACCGGCUAACUACGUG